CAUUUAGAUGUCUGAAAGCAAGAAUUGGUCUCUUAAACCACAUAAUAGUAAUUUAGCAUCUACUUCUAAUGA
rnacentral:tRNA from 1 species